rnacentral:rRNA from 1 species
ACGCUCGACACCUACGGGAGGCAGCAGUGGGGAAUAUUGCACAAUGGGGGAAACCCUGAUGCAGCGACGCCGCGUGGAGGAAGAAGGUCUUCGGAUUGUAAACUCCUGUUGUUGGGGAAAAAGNGGAUGGUACCCAACAAGGAAGUGACGGCUAACUACGUGCCAGCAGCAGCGGUAAUCUGAGCGGGCUGGCAAGGC